rnacentral:misc_RNA from 1 species
GAUGAAGAACGUAGUGAAAUGCGAUAAGUAGUGUGAAUUGCAGAAUUCAGUGAAUCAUCGAAUCUUUGAACGCACAUUGCGCCCUUCGGUAUUCCGUUGGGCAUGCCUGUUCGAGCGUCAUUUAAACCUUCAAGCUAUGCUUGGUGUUGGGUGUUUGUUCCGCCUCUGCGCGUGGACUCGCCUCAAAUUCAUUGGCAGCCGGUAUGUUGGCUUCGUGCGCAGCACAUUGCAAGCGACUUCAACAAACCUCCUUCCAUAAGCCUUUUUUUUACUUUGACCUCGGAUCAGGUAGGGAUACCCGCUGAACUUAAGCAUAUCAAUAAGCGGAGGA